ACAAAACAAAACAGUAAGAUGAAAACACAAAUGUUCCUGCCCUGACCAGAUGGAGCCCAGGCUCUCAGCAGGACACACCAGGCCUCCAUCACAUGACCCAAGGAGCCUUGCUUCCUUCCCUCUCCGGCUGCCCACGGCUCAGCCACGUGACAGGCCCUCGCUCUGUGGGUUCAGCAGCCUGAGAUCCACUCUUCAAGCGUGGCAUCGAUAAAAAGCAGCGGCGAGCUCACAUUGGGGCACUUUUCACAAGCCCUGCGGUAGGUGUUUUCACCUCCGUGACUCCGUCAGAUCUUCGGAGCACCCCCAGACACAGAAAAGCCAACUUCUGUGUCUACCCAUCAAGUGUGUGCAGUGCCCACAAAGGCCAGCAGAGGGUGCUGGAUCCCUUGGAACUGGAGUCACAGACAGUCGUGGGUUCUGAGAAAGGAAUCUCAAUCCUUGGGAAGAAUCACAAUGCUCUUAGCCUCUGAGACAUCUCUCCAGCGUCCUUGUUUGAUGUUUAAAGCAUGGUCUCAUAUAAUCCAGGCUAGCCUUGACUCUCUAUAGCCAAGGAUGGCCCUUGAAGUCCUUGUUCCUUCUGAUUCUGCCCCCCAAAGCACUGGGAUUAUAGACUGAGCUACCUAAGUACAGUUUUUGUUUUGUUUUGAGUUUUUAAGUAGGGUCUCUGCAGCCCAGGCUGUCCAUGCUGUCUCCUUCCAAACCCUGAGAUGACUGGCAGGAGCCACCUGCUGUUGCCUGGCAUUAUUGUCCCCUCCCACCAUACAGCGAGAGCCACAGCAGUAAGAAUUGUGUGUGUCCUUUCACCAACGUGGCCUAGGUGGCCAGGACAGAGGUUGACACACAGCCUCUGUCGGCUGAAGGAGCAUGCCCAGGUGGCCAAACACAAGGCAGGCCUCAGACCUGAAUGUGGGCUCCCUGGUCAUGCUGAGCAUUCUUCCAAAUGUGCUGCUGGCGGAGAGGCUGAGGGGCACAGUGUGUGUGUGCGGGGCGCCAGGCUGUGCCGUCCUGACACCUCCUCAGUCUGCAGCCAUCAAGGCUACCCUGGCUGAUCUCUGCCGUCCGGGGGUGAGACCCCACGGCUGGGUUCCGGGGGGCAUGCAGCGUGGUGUUUGGUAGGGUGCCUGCCUACCAGGCACAAAACCCUGGGUUUCUCUCCAGGCCCCAUAACUCUAACUUCGUGACCCACACCUGGGAGUUCAGUACGGGCAGAGGAGCAGAGGUUCAGGGUCUUCCUGGACUACAGAUCAACUUUGAAGCCGGCAUGGAUUACAGCAGAUCUUUUUCCCCACCGAAAAAAAUAAAAACUGAAGACUGAAGAAAGGCCUGGCAGUUGUUGCAAGAUAUUUGAUCCCAUCAUGAACCCCAAAACUGAACUGUGAACCCCGUCUCCUGCUCGGUGUGGUUGAGCCCUGUGGCGCACUUUUAGCCCAGCAGCUGUUGUUAUUGCAAACAGCUGAUAGUGUGCCUCAGCCUUGCACGCUCCUUCAGCGCAGGAGCUCUCUGCGAACAAUAGAGGUCUCGCCCAAGAGCAGAGCAAGAAACCAGCUGGCAGGGACUGAAGAGCAGGAGGGACCUUGAGCUGAGGGGUGUUUGAGACAGCGUGGAGAAGAAAGGGCUACUAGCCCAAACUCUGGCUUUAGCGUAGGCUUCAGCUCCUCAGCUCCCUGGCUUUUUGGGAUUUGAGCUAGCAAGCUUUUGGCCUUGGGCUUUUUGGUCUUUUCCUUUUUGGGCUGUGAAUUGAGCUAGAGAGCCUUUGGGUUUUUGUUGUUGUUUUUGUUUUCCCAUCUGGAGCAGAGCUGAGGAGGAAGGUCCCCUGGGUGUUUUCUCUGCCUCUCUGAGCUAGCAGGUUUUCACCUCAGCAUCUGGCUCCUGCGUCUUCAUUAGGAAAAUAGAACAGUUGGGAUUUUCAUCUUUGUUUAUAACAACAGGCAGCGGUGGCACUCGCCUUUAAUCCCAGCAUUUGGGAGGCAGAGGCAGGUGGCUCUCUGCAAGUUGGAGAGAGACUACAGACUACUGGUCUACAGACUGAGUUCCAGGACAGCCAGGGCUACACAGAGAAACCCUGCCAUGGGGUGGGGAGUGAAAAAAAAACAAGCAGGGUCUCAGGCUGGAGACGAGCUUUGGUGGGAGAGCGGUUGCCUAGCACGCACACGUCCUGAUUCCAUCCCCAGCACCGCAAAGCACACGCAGGCAGACCCGCAGGUCUCCGCCGCGCUGCACGGAGGACGCCGGUGAACUGCAGGUCCUGCUCAGGCACUGGCCACCACGCCUCCUCCCGGAUGCCGCGCACCCUCCCUGGCUUCCAGCGUGCUGGAGGGAGCAACACGCCCAGUCCCUCUCUUAAUUCUUUGACUGCAGAAAUUUUCCUGAAUCUGCCUUUUCUCUCCAGUUGGAACCAGGACAGACCAGUUUUUGUUUAACGGGAGAAUACUAAAUCCUCUGUGACAGCAAGGAAGACGAAGCGCGGAGAGUUGCUGCUUUGACCCCUCUGCCCCUUUUGCCUCGCUCCUUUCCAUUCCUUCCCGAUCUUUCCCAGAACGCCUUCCCCAUCUUUCUGCAGCGCUCUUACGCCCCCUGCUGCCCCUUCUUGGACAGCAGUGGCCCUGCCGAAUUCUUCCACUGACUUGAAGGAGGGAAGCUUGAGCCUAGGUGGGGCGUGGGGAGAGGGCAGGCUCCUGGGCUCAGCCUCGGGAAAACUCUCUGCCUUCCCUUCUAGGGCAUAGCCUCCCGGUCUCUGCGCUUGCACCACUGCACUUUUGCAGCACAUAAUUUCCAAUUAUGCUUCUAUCUGUUGCCUGUGAAGCGAACCCGUCUCUCCCACGGGUCCAGGAGCCCCAAAAGGAAGCACAGUUGCAUUUGCUCCUCAGUGCACCUCAGUGCUUGCCACCCUGACUAGUUCACUGCCAGAGCACGGUAAACAUUUGUUGAAUAAAUG